rnacentral:rRNA from 1 species
ACGAACGCUGGCGGCGUGCCUAAUACAUGCAAGUAGAACGCACAGUUUAUACCGUAGCUUGCUACACCAUAAACUGUGAGUUGCGAACGGGUGGGUAACGCGUAGGUAACCUGCCUGGUAGCGGGGGAUAACUAUUGGAAACGAUAGCUAAUACCGCAUAAUAUUGAUUAUUGCAUGAUAAUUGAUUGAAAGAUGCUAUUGCAUCACUACCAGAUGGACCUGCGUUGUAUUAGCUAGUAGGUGAGGUAACGGCUCACCUAGGCGACGAUACAUAGCCGACCUGAGAGGGUGAUCGGCCACACUGGGACUGAGACACGGCCCAGACUCCUACGGGAGGCAGCAGUAGGGAAUCUUCGGCAAUGGACGAAAGUCUGACCGAGCAACGCCGCGUGAGUGAAGAAGGUUUUCGGAUCGUAAAGCUCUGUUGUAAGAGAAGAACGGGUGUGAGAGUGGAAAGUUCACACUGUGACGGUAUCUUACCAGAAAGGGACGGCUAACUACGUG